rnacentral:rRNA from 1 species
UUCGCAAUGCCCGAAAGGGUGACGAAGCGACGCCGCGUGUGGGAAGAAGGCCUUCGGGUUGUAAACCACUGUCGGGAGUUAAGAAAUGUAAGGAUAUGGAUAGUGUCCUUGCUUGACUAAGGCUCCGGAGGAAGCCACGGCUAACUCUGUGCCAGCAGCCGCGGUAAUACAGAGGCGGCAAGCGUUGUUCGGAAUUAUUGGGCGUAAAGAGCACGUAGGCGGCUGUGUAAGUCGGUUGUGAAAGCCUUCCGCUCAACGGAAGAACAGCAGCCGAUACUGCAUGGCUUGAGUGCGGGAGGGGAGAGUGGAACUUCUGGUGGAGCGGUGAAAUGCGUAGAUAUCAGAAGGAACGCCGGCGGCGAAAGCGACUCUCUGGACCGCAACUGACGCUGAGUGUGCGAAAGCUAGGGGAGCAAACGGGAUUAGAUACCCCGGUAGUCCUAGCCGUAAACGAUGGGCACUAAGUAGAGGGGUUUU